UUGAAAGGCUGCUUGGUGGAUCUGGGCAAAAAGAGCCUCAGCAGAGCUAAGACCAAACAUGGGUGUCCUGACUCCUCUUUUCUGCCUUCUGCUGCUCUGUUGCCCAGCCACCAGUGGGAGCGCUGCCCUGACACAGUCCCCAGCCUUUCUGAGUGUGACUCCAGGAGAGAGCGUCUCCAUCACCUGCAGGGCCAGUGAAAGAAUUAGUGAUUAUUUGAACUGGUAUCAGCAGAAGUCAGGCCAGUCUCCUAGGAUUAUCAUCUAUGAUGCUGAUAACAAAUAUCCUGGUGUCUCUGAUCGCUUUAGUGGCAUACAGAGUGGGACAGAAUUCAUUUUCAAAAUCAGCGGGGUAGAGGUUGGAGACACUGGCACAUAUUACUGCCAGCAGGACUACGAAGUCCCUCUCACAGUGUUACAGUCCCAUACAUAA